GACGGGCGGGAGUAGGGUUGGGGGGAGCGGGACUUGCACAGACAUAAGCCCACAAGGCGGAUCAAUUCACUAGGGCCAUUUGGAAUAAGGAAGCCUUCCAUGUGUUAAGGUGUCUCAUCUUUUCAGCUUGUCCCCAGAGGAGUUUGUGGGUGCAGGGAAGGUGCGAUAUAAACGUAGUUCGCUGCUGGCUUCGGUUGGAUUUCUGGGUAGGCGAUCAACCUUAGUGCUGACCAAGGUAUCAGGAGGAUGAGAAGUGAGUGUCCACAUGUAUAUAACUCUCUCAGCCCUACUCAAGACAAUCCAUGUUGCUUCGGACACUGGAAUUUGCUUAUUCCAAAUCCAAAUGCUCUUCUCCCCAUGUGGAUUUUGAUUCUACGAGAAGAGUUUUAUUGCAUCAUAACCAAAACCAAAUGAUUCAACAAAAGCUUGGCUACCAUUAAUGUAAGAAAAGAAGGAAGAAACAUACCCCAAGAUUUGGGAAUUCCUUUAUUGAAAAAAUAAAAAGCUGUUUUGGAAUCACUUAAAAAAUACAGUAUAAAAGCAAGUCUAGAAUCGGCAACACAUUAAAAAUAGGACAUUAUACGCUACAUUUUAGAUUAGAAUAAUCCAUAUGUACAUAAAGAUGUCAUUUUGAAGGUA